GAGGCAUCUCAUGUGGAUAAUUAAAAAGGCAGCUCAAGCCAGACAGGGGAAUGUCAGUCUGGGGGAAAGACAUAGAAAAGCUGCCUGUGUGAGCUCACUGAGAGGCUUGAAAUCACCACAAGUCUUUGGGAGAAACUCCACGUAUGAUUUUGGAGCGAUCUGACGCGCUGCACAAAAAUGCAGGCGUGAAAAUGGAUGCGAUGGAAAUAAGAUCCCUUGACCUAAUGCAACAUUGACAACAUUGACAUGGAGAUCUGUACUAUUCUUAGUCCGGAAAUAACAAGUUAUAAAUCAAGAUGUACAGGAUGAUCAAAUCACAUUGAUUCUGGAUCUUAUAACAACAGUAGGUGAGCAACAGGAACCCCAAGAUACAGAGAUGCAACCUGAUCAAGGAGCAUGAGGAAACAACAAAAAUGAUUGAUAAUGAGACUGAUUCCCUUCAACAAUCCUUUCAUCAUUUGAUGUCCACACUCUCAUCAAGGACUGCAGAAAACAAAAAAAAAAAAAAUCAAACAAAGGUUUUAUUCUAA